CAAACACAGUUAAGAGCUGUGUCAUAUGGAAUCAAAAUGCAGGGGUGGUAGUAACAUGUAACAGUGUUCUUAGGCUAGAUGAGAGGGUGUACAAACAUACUGCCAAAGUGUCCUGUGACGUAUGAGCCAUAUGCUGUGGCAUUCCCUUUCUUGCUAUAGAUAUCUGUUGUGUUGUACUUCCUGCUACUCACUGCUUCAAUAUUGUAGGUUUUUUUGACCUGAAGAGAAAUCACAAAAAGGCUUGGGUCUCUUCUGAUUUAUGGCUUCAUCAACAGGAUGUUCUCACACAAUACCAAGUCUCUCAGGGAAUGCCAGAAUCCCCAAGAAGCUCCUUAAUGAGAUGCAGUGUAGAGGAUACAAAACAUAUUGCUGAUUUGGGGAGUCCUGCAGUACACAGAUGAUCUCUGACAUUUGGUGAUCCUAUCUUCCUGUUGGGGCUUGAAGCUGAUUUGCUAUCGAGGUUACAAAUAAUAAAGCUACUGCAUUUGGAUUAUGGCCUUCCUAAUUCUUCAGUAUGCUUCCAGCCUCUGCAAAAAUUAUGAUGGCUGUGGGGCUGAUGCACCAGCUGGCAAUAGGCUGCUGAAGAGUCUGUCAGUGUAUGUACAGCCAGGGCACAUUGUGUCCUGAUGACUCCUGCCCUGCUUCUGUGUGCUUCUGAGAUGCCUUCAAGGCAGAUUGCGAAAUGGUGAUUGUGGAGACAGAGAAAAACAAACAACAACAACAACAACAACAACUACAACAACAAAAGAUAUGGGCACAUAGCUGAGUUUAUGAGAGAAUGCAUGUGUUUGGCAGCUAACAAAAUACUGGCUACAGGAGACUUUAUCACAGUCUGUGUCAAAAUUAAAAUGAAUACCUAGAAUAAUGUUUUCCAUUAUGGACUAGAGCCAAACUAUCACCCAUGAAGCUUAUUUAGGGGCUUUCCUGUGACUUCGCAUUGCUAAAGAAACACUUCAUAUGCUUAGUUUAUCAAAAAUAAAGAUCAUCAAUUUCCUGUCCAGCUAGAUGUUAUAUAUCACAUGUGGUUUCAACACACUUUGGAUCUUCUUCAGAUGAAAGAAGAUAAGUAAAAUAAACUAUCUUCAUUGUUGUUGUGACUAUUAAGUUACUUGAAAUGAGAUUGGCAGCUUUUCAGUAAUCUGAUUCUUAAAAUAUUCAUUUCCUAUAGAACACAUGAUAAAUGAAGAAGUGGAUAGCAUGGAUGAGACCUAUGGUAGAAUAGGUCAGAAAUAAAGUCUUACAGAAACCAAGAGAAAAUUAGUA